rnacentral:rRNA from 1 species
AACCGUAAAAUUGCAGUUGAUACUGGAUAUCUUGAGUGCAGUUGAGGCAGGCGGAAUUCGUGGUGUAGCGGUGAAAUGCUUAGAUAUCACGAAGAACUCCGAUUGCGAAGGCAGCCUGCUAAGCUGCAACUGACAUUGAGGCUCGAAAGUGUGGGUAUCAAACAGGAUUAGAUACCCUGGUAGUCCACACGGUAAACGAUGAAUACUCGCUGUUUGCGAUAUACUGCAAGCGGCCAAGCGAAAGCGUUAAGUAUUCCACCUGGGGAGUACGCCGGCAACGGUGAAACUCAAAGGAAUUGACGGGGGCCCGCACAAGCGGAGGAACAUGUGGUUUAAUUCGAUGAUACGCGAGGAACCUUACCCGGGCUUAAAUUGCAGAUGAAUUACGGUGAAAGCCGUAAGCCGCAAGGCAUCUGUGAAGGUGCUGCAUGGUUGUCGUCAGCUCGUGCCGUGAGGUGUCGGCUUAAGUGCCAUAACGAGCGCAACCCUUGUUGUCAGUUACUAACAGGUUUCGCUGAGGACUCUGACAAGACUGCCAUCGUAAGAUGUGAGGAAGGUGGGGAUGACGUCAAAUCAGCACGGCCCUUACGUCCGGGGCUACACACGUGUUACAAUGGGGGGUACAGAGGGCCGCUACCACGCGAGUGGAUGCCAAUCCCCAAAACCUCUCUCAGUUCGGACUGGAGUCUGCAACCCGACUCCACGAAGCUGGAUUCGCUAGUAAUCGCGCAUCAGCCACGGCGCGGUGAAUACGUUCCCGGGCCUUGUACACACCGCCCGUCAAGCCAUGGGAGCCGGGGGUACCUGAAGUGCGUAACCGCGAGGAGCGCCCUAGGGUAAAACUG